ACCCAACUAGCUCAGUUGGUAGAGCACGAGACUCUUUAUCUCAGGAUCGUGGGUUUGAGCCUCAUGUCGCCAA